AUUGAACGCUGGCGGCAGGCUUAACACAUGCCAGUCGAGCGGGGGAAGGUAGCUUGCUACCGGACCUAGCGGCGGACGGGUGAGUAAUGCUUAUGAAUCUGCCUAUUAGUGGGGGACAACAUCCCGAAAGGGAUGCUAAUACCGCAUCCGUCCUACGGGCGAAAGCAGGUGAUCUUCGGACCUUGCGCUAAUAUAUGAGCCUAAGUCGGAUUAGCUAGUUGGUGGGGUAAAGGGCUACCAAGGCGACGAUCUGUAGCGGGUCUGAGAGGAUGAUCCGCAACGCUGGUACGGAGGCACGGCCCAGAAUCCUAGGGGAGGCAGAAGUGGGGGAUAUUGGACGGUGGGAGGAAUGGUGAUCAAGCCACGCCGCGUGUGUGAAGAAUGCAGUAUGGUUGUGAAGGUCAUUAAGCGAGGAGGAUUCUACAUUAGUUAUUCCCUGGAGGUAGAGGACGUUACCCGCAGAAUAAGCACCGGCUAACUCCGUG
rnacentral:rRNA from 1 species